CCACAAGUCAGUUUCAGCCAAGGCAGCAACUCAUCUGGCACAAUUUAACAUAAGAAUUGACUGGUGCCAGAUGGACACAGAACUUUUUUGCUGUCACUUUGCCGGUUUGAGGCCCCCGUCCUGUGCCACCUGUAGCUCAACAUCUCACUCCACUGACUUGUGCCCUUCUGAGGCAGACCCUUCCACGUCUCACCACUCCUUC